ACACACUUUCGCUCUGUGGGCACUUAGCAAAUACUUAUUAACUAAUUGGCUACAAUUCCUCGUCUACUGGUGGGAAAAUGGGGAGGUAAAAUAAAUUAGCUAGACCUCCAUGCUUCCUUAGUCACCCAAAGGAAGAGUUAUUAGUGGCUACAUACAGUGACUAAAAAUAGACAUCUGGUCAGGAAAAUCUGAAGAGAGAGAGACUAUCGGGGCUGCUUUUGGUAAACAGUUACACAGGAUACUUCACAAGAUACGUGAAGAGAGUCUUUGAGGUAAAAUCAAAUCCCUAUUAGGAUAAAUGAUUGAGUGUUCCUGUAAAGAAUUGUUCCCCUGGUUCAAGCAACCAGAUUUCAUUCCCAGAUGAUCAAAAAUGGACUUGAUGAAAUGGAAAAGCACUGAUAGAAACAGCCGUCGAUAUAUAGCUAAGGAUGAUAACAAGCACAACAAGGACUUACAGCAUUUGCUUUGCACCAGACACCAUCUAAAACACUUCACAAAUAUUAACUCAAAGGAACCUAUCAUAAUGCUGUCAUUAUUCCCAGUUCACAGAUGGGGAGGUAAAAACCCAGAGCUUAAUAGCAUGUCCAAGAUCACAUAACUAUUCCACUGCUCAAAAUUACUCCUGAAGGGAUGAGGACACCAGGAUAUGCCACCGGACCACUGAAGGAAUGGUGAUGGUAUGAAGAAAGUAUUUUUAAUGAGCAGAGCCAUUGUUUGCUCUGCUCUGUCCUCACCCCUCAAGAGAAUUUCCCUUAUUAUUAUGAAAACUUUUUAUCUUAAAAGAUAUUACAUGUUAAUGGAACUGUCGUUUAACAAAUGUUUUAUAAGUGUACCAAUCAAGCACAUUGUCGAAAUAAAAGAUAUGAAAUAAGUGAAAAAAA
rnacentral:lncRNA from 10 species